rnacentral:rRNA from 1 species
UACAUGGGGUGCAAACGUUGCUCGGAAUCAUUGGGCGUAAAGCGCGCGUAGGCGGUUACACAAGUUGGAUGUGAAAGCCCUCGGCUUAACUGAGGAAGUGCAUCCAAAACUGUGCAGCUAGAGUACUAAAGAGGGUCGCGGAAUUCCCGGUGUAGAGGUGAAAUUCGUAGAUAUCGGGAGGAACACCGGUGGCGAAGGCAAUCCCCUGGGCCUGCACUGACGCUCAUGCACGAAAGCGUGGGGAGCAAACAGG